rnacentral:rRNA from 1 species
GAUUAACGCUAGCGGCAGGCCUAAUACAUGCAAGUCGAACGGCAGCACGGGUAGCAAUACCUGGUGGCGAGUGGCGCACGGGUGCGUAACGCGUAUGCAACCUACCUAUAACCGGGGAAUAGCCUUCUGAAAGGAAGAUUAAUACCGCAUAAUAUCACUGGACGGCAUCGCCCGGUGAUCAAAACUCCGGUGGUUAUAGAUGGGCAUGCGUGACAUUAGCUAGUUGGUGAGGUAACGGCUCACCAAGGCUAAGAUGUCGAGGGGGUCUGAGAGGAUGAUCCCCCACACUGGUACUGAGACACGGACCAGACUCCUACGGGAGGCAGCAGUAAGGAAUAUUGGACAAUGGGCGCAAGCCUGAUCCAGCCAUGCCGCGUGAAGGAUGACGGCCCUCUGGGUUGUAAACUUCUUUUAUACGGGAAUAAACCCCUCGAUUCUUCGGGGGCUGAAUGUACUGUAAGAAUAAGGAUCGGCUAACUUCGUGCCAGCCGCCGCGGUAA